CAAGCCUAGUCACCACCCAGUAUGUCAUUCAAUCAUUAAUUCAUUAAGCCCCAGAACCCAUGCAAAUAGGAUACACCAGGGUGUGUUUGGAAGAGCGCCAUCGGCAUCAAUGCAAGGGGCUGUGCUUCUACUACAGAUAAUCAGGUCACCAAUGGACUACGUGCCCCAAUAAAACCCAGACUUCCAGCCAAAAAGUGAAUAAGAUAAUUUCUCCCUUACCAUUCAGGGAAAGUUUCCACCUAUCCCUAACCAUUGAUUUUAAUGGAAGUUCUAACCAUGUUUCCGGGGCAGCUGCAAACAUAAUCCAUCAUGACCUCAUCACUGAACUCAAUAUGCCUACCUCACCAUGCCCCCCAUCCAUCAACAUUACAGCUGUCAACAAUGGUCCCAUAGGAACAGGCAUCUCACAACAAACCAUACCACUAACAGUCUGAAUUGGCCUUUUCCAUACAGAGAAGAUCCUACUAUGUCAUAUCUUCUCUGAAGAAUCCUAUCAUCCUGGGCUACACCUGAUUAACUACACAUGAUCCAACUAUCUCCUGGGCACAAGGUGAACUUCUCCAGUGGUGAAGGUACUUCAGCAAAGAUGAUUCCAAUCAACAAUCAAUCUGCCAUGUCUCUCCACAAUUCAAUUCAAUUUUAUUUGUAUAGCACUUUUUCCAAUGGUCAUUGUCUCACCAGCAUCAAAGGCCCCAACAUUCAAGCUCUAACCCAGAUUCCAGAGGAAUUUGCGGAGGUGUUCAAUAAAGUCAAAGCAACACAACUCACUGUCCUUGGGAUUGUGUCCAUUACAGCCCCUCCUAAAAGCAAGGUGUACCCUUUAUCACUUCCAGAGAGCCAGGCUAUGGAAAAGUAUAUUGAGGAAGCAUUAGCCUCAGGCUUCAUACGCCCAUCCACAUCCCCUGCAGCAGCAGGAUUCUUCUUUGUGGAAAAAAAUGGCAGCGGCCUCAGACCCUGCAUUGACCAAUGUGGCCCUAACUCAGUCAAUGUCAAGUAUAGAUAUCCACCGUCAUUAAUCCCCUCAGCCCUGGAACAACUGCGGGAGGCCUGAAUUUUUUACCAAGCUAGACCUUAGAAGUGCAUUAAACCUUAUCCAAAUCUAAAAAGGAAAUGAGUGGAAAAUGGCCUCUGAGAUCAUACUGUAGUUGGGAACAGGAGAAAUGGAACGACUUCCUUCCAUGGGCUGAAUAUGCACAGAAUUCCCUCAAGCAUUCCUCUACUGAAUUCUUCUGGGCUAGCAACCACCCAUGUUCCCUUGGUCAGGUGAAUGCUCAACAGUGCCAGCAGUGUACAAUUGGGUCAGGAGAAGUGAGAGGGUGUGGAACAGUGCACACGUUUGGCUCCAAUGUGUCCGGGUUCAACACAUUCACGAUGACCGUAGGAGACGUCCCCACCCCAACUACCAACUGGGUCAGGGAGUCUGGCUGUCUACAUCGGGACCUUCAUCUGCAGCUACCCUGCAGGAAGCUCAGCCCCAGGUAGUCCACCCUGCAUCUUGCCCUGAAACCAUGGAAUCUCCACCACUGCUGGAGAUAGAUGGAGCUCCAGCAUACCUGGUCAGGAAAAUCUUGGAUUCCAGAAGGAGGGGAGGCCAGAUGCAAUAUUUGGUGGACUGGGAAGGAUACAGACCAGAGUAGACAUCACAGUCAGACAUGUACAAAUGGUUGGAGAGAUGAAGGGAAAUCUGUCUUGAGCGACCCUGUCACCCAAAUACCAGUGAAUGAAAAAUCCAUACGCAGAGGGACGGUUGAAGCUGUGCCGUGCACUUUCAGCUUCUGAAGAGACACAAUUAUACACACAUCCCCGUUGGGCUGAAGGAGGGGGUAUUUCACACUGGUGGUCUUCAUUGAAAACUCACUGUCAGUGUCUGCAAUGUUCUGCUCUUCACCCAAAAACCACAGAUGACACUAGGGUGGAUACAAGAAAGGAACCAAGUAAGGAGAUGCUUAACUUAUCUGUCAAACAAAAGUGGAAGGAAAAAUGAACGUCACUGUAAAACAUAGUGUAUGGAUAUUUUGUAUGCUUUCUUUGUGGUGGUUGUUCUAACAGAAAAGGCAUUUCUGAAAAAAAAAAUUAUUAAGGAAAAAAGCAACCUCGGAAUCAAUGCAGUUUUGGUUAUUAAAUUAAAUAAAAUCCACUCGCU
ensembl:lncRNA